GGGAGGCUUUGAAGCGGGGGCGCCAGUUCCCGUGGAGCCAUCCUUGAAAUACCACCCUGGUUUGUUUGAGGUUCUAACCUUGGUCCGUUAUCCGGAUCGGGGACAGUGCAUGGUAGGCAGUUUGACUGGGGCGGUCUCCUCCCAAAGAGUAACGGAGGAGCACGAAGGUUGGCUAAUCCUGGUCGGACAUCAGGAUGUUAGUGCAAUGGCAUA
rnacentral:rRNA from 1 species